UAAAGUCUGCAUAAUUGUAGCAAUUUACGAAUAUGUAAAAAUUCUACGUGUUUGAAACAAUAUACAUGGUUUAAUUUUACAAUGUCAUGCCUUGACGAGAAGAAAGAAGCCCUUUUAACUGCUUCACAGUCCAUUAUUACUUUUGGUACGCGCUAGGCCAGACUCAAACUCGUACCGUGAGUAAUAAUGCACUGUGGCAGUGUGUUUAUCAGCGUGGAGAAACUCAAGCCAGGUUUGGAAGCAAAUCAAUAAAGAGGAAACAUUUUAAUAUGAAUGUUUGCAUAAAUUAACACUUUGCACUUGCAUCAAAACCGAACCAUGCCCACACAUACUUGCCUUUGGCAUUAUUCAAUUCACUUUUUUUAUAUUUAUGAAACUGCACUUGAUGAUGGACACACUGUAUUAAGUAAGCAGUCUGAACAUGUGAGCAUCACCUCCAGCGGAAAUCAAGCGUUUACCUGGCUAUAAAGCUGGGUUUUACUAUUAUUUCCUAUGUAUAAAAACUACUAAAUGUAAAUGUUAAGGGGUGAUUUAGACGUGGUUGUAUGAUGUCCAAAUAACUAAAUGUAAAAAAUAAUUAAUUUUGUAAAAAAGCAAUGAUGGUUGAAUCUGUUGUUCUUUUGCCUUUUUUUCUAGGUUGAGAGGUCCGUGGACGUAUGACAGCCUUUUACAAACUUCAAUGUUCAUUAUAAUCCUUUUGCUUUUGUAACAAAACAGAUUCCGUUGUCACAAUGUAACAUGCAAUUGAUGCAAAUAAGAAAAUAGUAAUGUGUAUACCAUGUUUAAAUAUGUUUUAUUAAAUAAAAAUCAUACAAAAAUGGUUUAUAUUUUUAUCAAUAUUUAGAGUAUUUAAUGUUCGGUUAAAUUUGAAUGCAAUAAAAUAUAUUUGAGAAAGAG